GACGAACGCUGGCGGCGUGCUUAACACAUGCAAGUCGAACGGAAAGGCCCUGCUUUUGUGGGGUGCUCGAGUGGCGAACGGGUGAGUAACACGUGAGUAACCUGCCCUUGACUUUGGGAUAACUUCAGGAAACUGGGGCUAAUACCGGCUAGGAGCUCCUGCUGCAUGGUGGGGGUUGGAAAGUUUCGGUGGUUGGGGAUGGACUCGCGGGUUAACAGCUUGUUGGUGGGGUAGUGGCUUACCCAGCCUUUGACGGGUAGCCGGCCUGAGAGGGUGACCGGCCACAUUGGAACUGAGGUACGGCCGAGAAGGGUACGGGAGGCAGAAGGGGGGAAUAUUGCACAAUGAGCGGAAGCCUGAGGCAGAAGCGCCGCGUGCGGGAUGACGGCCUUCGGGUGGUAAACCGCUUUCGCCUGUGACGAAGCGUGAGUGACGGUAAUGGGUAAAGAAGCACCGGCUAACUACGUG
rnacentral:rRNA from 1 species